GAACCUGUCUCGCGAACUCUGCUUAAAGUUGAUCUGGCUCACCAGGACGUNAGCGGCGUGCUAAUACAUGCAAGUCGAGCGACAGAGAAGUGAGCUUGCUCCUUUGACGUUAGCGGCGGACGGGUGAGUAACACGUGGGCAACCUACCUUAUAGUUUGGGAUAACUCCGGGAAACCGGGGCUAAUACCGAAUAAUCUAUACUUCAUGGUGAAAUACUGAAAGACGGUUUCGGCUGUCGCUAUAAGAUGGGCCCGCGGGCAUUAGCUAGUUGGUGAGGUAACGUGCUCACCAAGGCGACGAUGCGUAGCCGACCUGAGAGUGGUGAUCGGGCCACAACUGGUGAACUGA
rnacentral:rRNA from 1 species